rnacentral:rRNA from 1 species
AUUGAACGCUGGCGGCAGGCUUAACACAUGCAAGUCGAGCGGGGUGAUGGUGCUUGCACUAUCACUUAGCGGCGGACGGGUGAGUAAUGCUUAGGAAUCUGCCUAUUAGUGGGGGACAACAUCUCGAAAGGGAUGCUAAUACCGCAUACGUCCUACGGGAGAAAGCAGGGGAUCACUUGUGACCUUGCGCUAAUAGAUGAGCCUAAGUCGGAUUAGCUAGUUGGUGGGGUAAAGGCCUAACAAGGCGACGAUCUGUAGCGGGUCUGAGAGGAUGAUCCGCCACACUGGGAAUGAGGCACGGCCCAGGCUCCUACGGGAGGCAGCAGUGGGGAAUAUUGGACAUGGGGGGAACCCUGAUCCAGCCAUGCCGCGUGUGUGAAGAAGGCCUUAUGGUUGCAAAGCACUUUAAGCUAGGAGGAGGCUCUUUUGGUUAAUACCCAAGAUGAGUGGACGUUACUCGCAGAAUAAGCACCGGCUAACUCUGUGCCAGCCGCCGCCGUAA